rnacentral:misc_RNA from 1 species
AAGUCGUAACAAGGUAACCGUAGGUGAACCUGCGGUUGGAUCAUUAGUGGUUUUUACGUAGCGCUGUUGUAGUGUUUCUGUGUGGUGUUGGGGUUUGCUUAGGGUGUUGUUGGUUGUUUGUCUGUUUUUGUGCAUUGCCUUGUGCUGCCUUGUGCGAUGUCUUGUGCAUUGCCUUGUGCGGUGCCUUGUGCGGAGCCUGGCAGUACAAACGAUCGACGGCAACACUCGGACCAGACCCAAGCCCUUGCAGACAAUAGACGUCUUUGCUUGCUUUGAUGAAACCAAAUCAAAAACAACUUUUGACAACGGAUCUCUUGGCUCUC